AUAUAAUUACUAAAGCUUUCAGAAUAGCCUUGCUUUUCUCUUUGGUGUGGUCACGGAAGGGACACUGGCCUGAUCUUUCUACACUGCUGGGAAACCUCCCUUUUUAGGGAGAGGGUUAGGUCCAGGGUGAGGUUCAACCACAGGAUCUUGGCCAUGGCAAGGCUCUGUGUCAUCUCAUCUAUAAACUGGGAUCAUGAUGGUCCCCACCUAUAGAGUUUUGGUGAAGAUCGAAUGAAAUAACACAUGGCAAGUGCUUAGCACAGGACAAAGUACCCCGUGAAUGGACAGCUAUCGAGACCUGGUGAAAGAUCAGGUGCAAUAAUGUUCGGCAGUAAAAAGAAAUCCCUUGGUAAGUAUCGAGUUUAUCAAAUGACAUGAAGCAAUAUUAAUUUUAAUACUAUUCUAUUUUUUGAUGGAGGUUAGACAGAUACAGUCUCAAGUGUUCAGUUGAACCAUCUUUGACAAUUAUAUACAUCCAUGUAACUCCCCAAAGAGUAUAAAACAAGAUAUAGGACAUUUUUGUAACUUCAGCAAAUUCCCUUGUGUGUCUUUUUAUUCAUCCAAACACCUGAUUUCUAUCAGGUUAGUUUUGCCUAUUUUAAAAAUGAGUAUAAACAAAAUAAUAUAGUAUAUAUUCUUUUGCUCAGCAUAAGGUUUUUGCCACAUAUCUGUAGGGUUGCAUGGAUCAAUAAUUUGGUCUUCAUUUUUUAUUUCAAAUCAGUGUUCCA